AUUGAACGCUGGCGGCAGGCCUAACACAUGCAAGUCGAACGGUAACAGGAAGAAGCUUGCUUCUUUGCUGACGAGUGGCGGACGGGUGAGUAAUGUCUGGGAAACUGCCUGAUGGAGGGGGAUAACUACUGGAAACGGUAGCUAAUACCGCAUAACGUCGCAAGACCAAAGAGGGGGACCUUCGGGCCUCUUGCCAUCGGAUGUGCCCAGAUGGGAUUAGCUAGUAGGUGGGGUAACGGCUCACCUAGGCGACGAUCCCUAGCUGGUCUAAGAGGAUGACCAGCCACACUGGAACUGAGACACGGUCCAGACUCCUACGGGAGGCAGCAGUGGGGAAUAUUGCACAAUGGGCGCAAGCCUGAUGCAGCCAUGCCGCGUGUAUGAAGAAGGCCUUCGGGUUGUAAAGUACUUUCAGCGGGGAGGAAGGGAGUAACGUUAAUACCUUUGCUCAUUGACGUUACCCGCAGAAGAAGCACCGGCUAACUCCGUG
rnacentral:rRNA from 1 species